rnacentral:rRNA from 1 species
UACAGAGGGUGCAAGCGUUAAUCGGAUUUACUGGGCGUAAAGCGUGCGUAGGCGGUUCGUUAAGUCGAUUGUGAAAGCCCUGGGCUCAACCUAGGAAUUGCAGUCGAUACUGGCGGGCUAGAGAACGGUAGAGGGAGGCGGAACUCCAGGUGUAGCAGUGAAAUGCGUAGAUAUCUGGAAGAACACCGAUGGCGAAGGCAACCUCCUGGGCCUGUUCUGACGCUGAGGCACGAAAGCGUGGGGAGCAAACAGG